rnacentral:sRNA from 1 species
AUUCUUAUGAAUUACACCUGAGAACGUGAUAUGAAAGUAAUGAUCCGUUUUUAAAAAUUUCUAAGUUCAUAAAUUGUUUUGUUGGAGAUUCUUUUUGUCUUUGUAGAUAUAAAUGAAAGCCCUUUGAUCUGUUUUGUUAAAUUUCUAAGUUCAUAAAUUGUUUUGUUAGAGAUUCUUUUUGUCUUCGUUGAUAUAAGUGAAAGCCUUCAAAAAGAUCUGAUUUUUUGUAUUUAAUGUUGUUCUGACCUGAGGAAUUUAUGUUGCAGGUAUGGAGUUACAUGUAUUAAUUAUGGUUGGUGAGUGGAUAUACAAAGAAGAAGGUUGGAAAUUUGAAGCUGAGAAAGGAAGUUUCGGACGCUGUGUACGUAUUAGAGACACAACGACGUACACGGAUUUGGCAAGUACAAUAUGUGAUGUUUU